UCCAGCUUAACGCUGGCAGUCCCUCCAGAGUGCCCAACUUAAUGAUGGCAACAGGAGGCGUGGGUUGCGCUCGUUACGGGACUUAACCCAACAUCUCACGACACGAGCUGACGACAGCCAUGCAGCACCUGUCUCUUCGUCCUCUUGCGAGGAAAGCCGACUUUCAUCGGUUGUCGAAGGAUGUCAAGACCAGGAUAAGGUUCUUCGCGUUGCGUCGAAUUGAACCACAUGCUCCACUGCUUGUGCGGGUCCCCGUCAAUUUCUUUGAGUUUUAAUCUUGCGACCGUACUCCCCAGGCGGGGUGCUUAACGCGUUAGCUUCGUCACUGAAACGGUUUACAAUUCCAACGACAAGCACCCAUCGUUUACGGCGUGGACUAC
rnacentral:misc_RNA from 1 species